UUAGUAGAGACGGGGUUUUGCCAUGUUGGCCAGGCUGGUCUCGAUCUAUUGGCCUCAAGUGAUCCGCCUGCCCCAGAGACCUUUUUCUAAAAGCCAAGUCUGACCCUGUUUCUCUGCUGCCUAGAAGCUUCCUGUGGAUGUGGACAUAGCCACAAAGUCCGGAUGGGCAGAAAGAGGCAUUUCUGGCAGAGGGCAAAGCAGGGGCAAAGGUCUGGAGUGUGACCCAAAGACUGCAGAGGCCACCUGACUGGCCAGGUCCCAUGGGGCCUGGAAUGCCCAGCAAGGAUCCUGGAUUUUCCCUGGAGACCCAAGUGGAGGGUUGGGAAGUGGUUUCAUUAGUGAAUUAUUUUAGACACACAUACAGAGAGCAUUAAGAUGUCUGGGGGCCCAGGACCCAGUUGAAGGAGCAACACAGGGCAGAUUGGAAGCCCUGCGUGCCUGUCCCUCCCUCCCCAGCCAGCCUCAGUGUGAGUCCGCGUGUCUGUCCCACUGUAAGUGCAAGUGGCAGCAGACAUUGUAACACUGCCUACCACGGGGCCCCACAGCACUGCCUCACCUCAGCCACUUGCCUUUUUCUCCUCAGGUCACUUUUAGAUCCAGCCCCAGGGGAACCCCCUGCUUUGGAUGGCAGCCGCCAUCUCUGCUGCAGUGUCUUCUGAUGAAAGCUGUCCCCUGUGGGCACGAGUGUGGACAUCCUGCACCUCCUAGGGCAGCAGUGCCGAGGUCCUGAUUUGGAAAGUCAGUCACAUGGAUGGCUACCAUGUGCCUAAAGCACUUGCAGCCUCAGAGAAAGGCAGAUGGCGGAGUGUCUCAAUUUGAAUUUCAACUCUGAAUUUGAACUCUGGGGCUCAAGAGAUCCUCACACAGGGAUCCUCUAGCCUCAGCCUCCUUUGGUUUCAUGGAGUUUGUAGUAACCCCAUUGGGGUUCUGUACUUGAUGAAAGCUGUAGUUCCUCCUCCCACUCACAAUAUGGGGGGACUCAGCUCAGCCACCCCUGGUCAGACAGUUGACUUGUCAGCCAACACAACUGAGCAGACUCAC